rnacentral:rRNA from 1 species
AACGAACGCUGGCGGCAGGCUUAACACAUGCAAGUCGAGCGCCCCGCAAGGGGAGCGGCAGACGGGUGAGUACCGCGUGGGAACGUACCUUUUGGUUCGGAACAACUCCGGGACACUGGAGCUAAUACCGGAUAAGCCCUAACGGGGAAAGAUUUAUCGCCGAAAGAUCGGCCCGCGUCUGAUUAGCUAGUUGGUGAGGUAACGGCUCACCAAGGCGACGAUCAGUAGCUGGUCUGAGAGGAUGAUCAGCCACACUGGGACUGAGACACGGCCCAGACUCCUACGGGAGGCAGCAGUGGGGAAUAUUGGACAAUGGGCGCAAGCCUGAUCCAGCCAUGCCGCGUGAGUGAUGAAGGCCUUAGGGUUGUAAAGCUCUUUUGUCCGGGAAGAUAAUGACUGUACCGGAAGAAUAAGCCCCGGCUAACUUCGUG